GCCGAGGUGGUGAAAUAGGUAGACGCACUGGACUCAAAAUCCAGCGUUCGCAAGAACAUGCGGGUUCGAUUCCCGCCCUCGGCACGA
rnacentral:tRNA from 1 species